AGAGCGAACGCUGGCGGCAGGCCUAACACAUGCAAGUCGAGCGCCCCGCAAGGGGAGUGGCAGACGGGAGAGUAACACGUGGGAACGUACCCUUCAGUUCGGAACAACCCAGGGAAACUUGGGCUAAUACCGAAUACGUCCGUAAGGAGAAAGAUUUAUCGCUGAAGGAUCGGCCCGCGUCUGAUUAGCUUGUUGGUGAGGUAACGGCUCACCAAGGCGACGAUCAGUAGCUGGUCUGAGAGGAUGAUCAGCCUCACUGGGACUGAGACACGGCCCAGACUCCUACGGGAGGCAGCAGUGGGGAAUAUUGGACAAUGGGCGCAAGCCUGAUCCAGCCAUGCCGCGUGGGUGAUGAAGGCCCUAGGGUUGUAAAGCCCUUUCGGCGGGGAAGAUAAUGACGGUACCCGCAGAAGAAGCCCGGCUAACUUCGUGCCAGCAGCCGC
rnacentral:rRNA from 1 species